UACAGAGGUCUCAAGCGUUGUUCGGAAUUACUGGGCGUAAAGGGCUCGUAGGUGGCCAACUAAGUCAGACGUGAAAUCCCUCGGCUUAACCGGGGAACUGCGUCUGAUACUGGAUGGCUUGAGGUUGGGAGAGGGAUGCGGAAUUCCAGGUGUAGCGGUGAAAUGCGUAGAUAUCUGGAGGAACACCGGUGGCGAAGGCGGCAUCCUGGGCUAACACUGACGCUCAUGCACGAAAGCGUGGGGAGCAAACAGG
rnacentral:rRNA from 1 species